rnacentral:rRNA from 1 species
AUGGCCAUGGGAGCGUGGUCGGCGAUGAAGAAGAGCUUAUUAAUGAAGCUGAGUGUGUGUCUGCUGAUCAUCGCCAUGGCUAACUGCGCUCGGGACAUCCCUGACUCGGUUGCUGAGCACCCUCCCGGAUACAUCAUCUGCGGCGAGAUCAGCGAGACGUGGCACGGGGGGCUGUGCGCCAAGCGCGGCACCUGCAACAAGCCGUGCCGGGCGGAAGGGUAUGACGCGGGCUACUGCGCCCCCUUCCCCUUCAUGACCUACUGCUGCUGCACACAGAACUGUGGCAUGUCGUCGUCUCUGCAACCACACAGGAGCAGCAUUCAGUGCAACUAA